AUACGGAGGAUCCGAGCGUUAUCCGGAUUUAUUGGGUUUAAAGGGAGCGUAGGUGGAUUGUUAAGUCAGUUGUGAAAGUUUGCGGCUCAACCGUAAAAUUGCAGUUGAAACUGGCAGUCUUGAGUACAGUAGAGGUGGGCGGAAUUCGUGGGGUAGCGGGUAAAUGCUUAGAUAUCACGAAGAACUCCGAUUGCGAAGGCAGCUCACUAGACUGUUACUGACACUGAUGCUCGAAAGUGUGGGUAUCAAACAGGAUUAGAUACCCGGGUAGUCCACACAGUAAACGAUGAAUACUCGCUGUUUGCGAUAUACAGUAAGCGGCCAAGCGAAAGCAUUAAGUAUUCCACCUGGGGAGUACGCCGGCAACGGUGAAACUUAAAGGAAUUGACGGGG
rnacentral:rRNA from 1 species